rnacentral:rRNA from 1 species
CGGGACGGGUGAGUAAUGUCUAGGGAAACUGCCUGAUGGAGGGGGAUAACUACUGGAAACGGUAGCUAAUACCGCAUAACGUCGCAAGACCAAAGAGGGGACCUUCGGGCCUCUUGCCAUCGGAUGUGCCCAGAUGGGAUUAGCUAGUAGGCGGGGUAAAGGCUCACCUAGGCGACGAUCCCUAGCUGGUCUGAGAGGAUGACCAGCCACACUGGAACUGAGACACGGUCCAG